rnacentral:rRNA from 1 species
UUCACGGAGAGUUUGAUCCUGGCUCAGGACGAACGCUGGCGGCGUGCUUAACACAUGCAAGUCGAACGAUGAAGCCCUUCGGGGUGGAUUAGUGGCGAACGGGUGAGUAACACGUGGGCAAUCUGCCCUUCACUCUGGGACAAGCCCUGGAAACGGGGUCUAAUACCGGAUACCACUCCUUCUCGCAUGGGAAGGGGUUGAAAGCUCCGGCGGUGAAGGAUGAGCCCGCGGCCUAUCAGCUUGUUGGUGAGGUAGUGGCUCACCAAGGCGACGACGGGUAGCCGGCCUGAGAGGGCGACCGGCCACACUGGGACUGAGAC